rfam:Spinacia oleracea cultivar SynViroflay scaffold4295.con0001.1, whole genome shotgun sequence.
GUUGCUUCAUAUGGUGAACUAUCUCCUUGUAAAUGAGAAGUGUUCUAGUUUCCGAAGCAUAAAUUAAAAACAAAAAGCCAGUUUUAAACAACACGUUGAAUGGAUUAAAUUUCUCCAUUCUGAUCGUAAUCACCUGGGAAUUAA